rnacentral:rRNA from 1 species
AUACGGAGGGUGCAAGCGUUAAUCGGAAUUACUGGGCGUAAAGGGCGCGUAGGCGGUCUAUCAAGUCAGUUGUGAAAUCCCACGGCUCAGCCGUGGCGGUGCAUCUGAAACUGAUAGACUUGAGUAUGGGAGAGGAAAGUGGAAUUACCGGUGUAGAGGUGAAAUUCGUAGAUAUCGGGAGGAACACCAGUGGCGAAGGCGACUUUCUGGACCAAUACUGACGCUGAGGCGCGAAAGCGUGGGGAGCAAACAGGAUUAGAAACCCCAGUAGUCC